UUCUCCUGCAACUUCAUUGCAACAAACGUACAAAAAACACCGCAACUUUUAUCGCAAUUUUGUACAAAAGCUCCCGCAACAGCAGGCAUUUUGGGCCGCAGCAACCUCAAAAAAAGGCUGCGAAAUCCUGGAGGGACUGAUAUUUGGAGAUAUA